GUGAGGAAUAUUGGACAAUGGAGGAAACUCUGAUCCAGCCAUGCCGCGUGAGUGAUGAAGGCCUUCGGGUUGUAAAGCUCUUUCGGGUGUGAAAAUGAUGAUGGUAACACCAGAAGAAGCCCCGGCUAACUCCGUGCCAGCAGCCGCGGUAAUACGGAGGGGGCGAGCGUUGUUCGGAAUCACUGGGCGUAAAGCGUGCGUAGGCGGUUAUACAAGUCAGGAGUGAAAUCCCAGGGCUCAACCUUGGAAUUGCUUUUGAGACUGUAUGACUAGAGAUCUAGAGAGGUUGGGGGAAUUCCGAGUGUAGAGGUGAAAUUCGCAGAUAUUCGGAGGAACACCAGUGGCGUAGGCGCCCAACUGGCUAGAUACUGACGCGGAGGCACGAAAGCGUGGGGAGCAAACAGGAUUAGAAACCCGGUAGUCC
rnacentral:rRNA from 1 species